ensembl:snoRNA
UGGUCACUACCCAGGCUUUUAGAAUGAAGCUUCUAAUUUGCUGUGGACAUGACCAUAAAAAAAUUCCCCACUAGGGUUUCUGUCUGCUACCUCGUUAGCAAUCAACCUGUUGGGACCAUUA